GGGCGUUUGGCACAGUGGUAGCGCGCACGCUUUGCAUCUGAGCUUGCGUGAGGUCCAGGGUUCAAGCCCCUGAUCGUCCA